UCGACCAGGCCACCCUCACGUUCCGCCCGGCCCAGGCGCCCAGCGGUCUCACCUCACGGUCUUCUCGCCGCCCCGCGCGCCUCGGCGACCGACGACCCUCGUAAGCAUUUCCCCGAACACUUGCCGUGCCCGCGCGCCCCCAAACCCCACCACGCCGCCUAAACCCCGAGGAACCCCAGAGCGCCGCGGAUGCCCGCUCGCCCCCCGUCGGAUGGCCUCGGCGGCGCGAGGUAGAGAGGGGCCCGCGCGACUCCUCUUCCCAUUCAGAUGUGGCGGCUCCCCCCGGCAGCGGCGCUCCGACUCCUCCGACGCUCGCUCGGCGCCACCGCCCGUCUCUCCGUUCCGGGGUGUUUGGUGCGUGCCUUGCUCCACGAGGAGCAGCACACUGCACGCGCUAAUCCACACAUGACUGUGCGUUACCUCCAAUGGUGUGGUUCAGAUGAUGAUGACGAUGAUGAGGCCAUUGAGGCAUUUAAGCAUGAUUGCUCGAUCACAGCAAGCAGUAGUGCUUCAGAUGCCUCAGCAUCUACUGCUUAUAUUGACAAACUCAGCAGAUCUGGCAACCUUGUUGAUGCUGUUCGUGUUCUGCAGCAUCUGCAUCACCAGCAGAUCCAUGUUGGCCUGGACACGUUUAAUGUGUUACUGCAGCAAGCAGCUGAAGCAGAUGGCUUUGAUCUUUUUGCCAAGGUAUUCAGGUACUUGCUGCUUUCAAAACUUGCUCCUGAUUCUACUUCAUAUAUGAAUGUUGCCAAGGCCCUCCAGAAGUUGGAUGAAUGUGAAUUGAUACUCAAGUUUGUAAGAGAAAUUUUGGAAAUAACACAGAAUAGAGACCCUACAGUAAUGAAUCGCAUUAUUUUUGCCACGGCUAAAUAUGGAGACAUUGAUAAAAGUUUGAUCAUCUUUGAAGAGUUGAAGAAAGAUCGAACCUUGGAUGUUGUCACGUUCAACACUAUCUUGGACAUGCUGGGGAAAGCUGGUCGAGUGGAUCAAAUGCUUCAUGAGGUGAAGCUAAUGGAAGAACUUGGCCAUUAUCCUGACAUUGUGACUUACAAUACUGUAAUAAACUGCUUGCGAAGGCUUGGGAGAUUAGGUCUGUGCAAAAGAUUUGCAGGGGAAAUGCUUGAGAGAGGCAUCAAUCCAGAUCUUAGAACAUACACAGCACUCAUUGAUUGUUUUGGACGGGCUGGUCAUAUUACUGAAGCCCUGGAAAUGCUUGACAAGAUGAAGAUGUCCCACAAACCUUCAGUUUAUGUCUAUCGUGCACUGAUCAGCGAUGUGAAAAAGGCUGGACAGUUUGAACUAGCCCAAAAGCUCUCUGAAGAGAUGAAUUCAAGUGCAUCAGAUUUACUAGGCCCUGAAGAUUUCAAACAGAAGUACAAGGGAAGAAGGUUCAGGGAUAAAAGAUAAGAAGCUGAUGAGUGAUUUUUGAGGCUGAAAAUAUUAUGUUCCCAUGUGCUAUGUGCAUCCAUAGUUCCAUAGUGCCAGAAAUUCUGGGAAUGAACUGAAUCUUCAAGGGUGUAUCUCAGGGAGAAUGAGAGAGCAACAAACUUUCAGAUGACAAAAGCAUAAUGAUUGGGAAGUUUCUGGUACAAAUUCAAACAUAAAAUUAUUUUCAAGAUUUGCUAUGCACCAAGGAGACUUGGCAAGCUGGUGUCUGUGGGCCUGUGGCUCCUUGAUCAAUGUGCAAUCGUGGGACAUUGUGACAGACGUUAGCUGCUGCACAAACUCAAGUUAAACACAUAGCUGAACAGUCACAUGACUUGGUUGAGGCUUAGAUACUGGUGACGUGGUAUCAUGUGCAUCAAACCUGCUUUGGUGGACAUCACUCUUAUUAGUCUUGUGUUGAUGGGCAUCUCUACAUGUAAGUUUUUUUUCAGAUUGGUUUUCCAAGAUCCACAAGUUGUCAUCAAACACUUGAAACUAUCAAUUCAACUUGUCAUUUACUAAUUGUAAGCUUCAAUAUUCUUCUCACUGCAGACUACGGAACACAAAAAUUGCAAAGUGAAUCUGAGUGUUCAAUAUUUGGAUGUGAAAAUGUAUAGUUGUUGUUUUCCCAUCAGAUUCAGUAAGAUGAGCACCUUAGUUUUUCCUUCCCUCUCUGGCUUUUUAAGGCAGGCAGGUAGGGAUGUAACUCUUAUUAAUUAGAGCAGAAAAUUUGUUUUGUAAGCUUUACUGCGAGGCAAGAGCUGCCAGCAUCUAGAACGGUACAAAACACUGAAAGGCCUGAUGAGCAAACAAAGUACAGGUACUUGACGAUAGAGCUGAUGGUUGAUUUGAAGCCAGAAUACUAGUCACAUCUCAUAGGUAAUGAUAUACUGAUAAUGUCUACAAAUGUGAUAACAGCACAAAUACGAUAGUCAAUCUAA